CAAUUCUUCCUCAGCGAAAAAACCAAAACAAAACAAAAGCUUGGGUUCUUUAAUAAAAAUGAAUUUCAGCAAUGCUGCUUUCAUUCCAUGUGUGUCUUCUUUCUUUUUAAUCCCAUGGUACCUUUUGUGAUCCAGCGGGAUUUUCAAGUCCCUUGGUAAAAAUAUUCCCAUGGUGUGGUACGCCAGGAUCCCAGACUAACAGGACCUCGAGCAUUGAAUGUCUUGUCAGAACUUCAGUUCCACUGAUGACAGAUUGUGCAAUAAAUAGUGCUGUAGUAAGUUACUGGCUUUUCUGCCAAAAGGAAGCAAAUCUUUUCUCCUUAAGAGCACCUAUUUUUUUUUUUUUUUUUGAGGAAGAUUAGCUCUGAACUAAGAUCUGCUGCCAAUCCUCUUCUUUUUGCUGAGGAAGGCUGGCCCUGAGCUAACAUCCAUGUGCAUCUUGCUCUACUUUAUAGGUGGGACGUCUGCCACAGCAUGGCUUGACAAGCAGUGCGUAGGUCCAUACCCUGGAUCCAAACUGGUGAACCCCUGGCUGCCGAAGUGGAACAUGCAAACCCAACCACUGUACCACCAUGCUGGCCCCAAAGAUCACCUAAUUUUAAAUUGCUAAGGAACCACAAUUCAGCCCAUAAAGAUUAUUCUAUUAAUUUGGCUCUUUCCCCAAUAUUCCUACAUUUCAUUUAUUUAAUUGUUCUUUCCUGCCACAAAAAUUACUGCUUCAUCUUGGCCUGAGAUCCUCUUCUUCACACUCCCCAUUCUGGUUUCUAAAGAAAAUUGGAGAAGAAUGAGACAGAAGUCCAUGGCAGAGUUUGCAGGAAAGGAACAGAGAAGAGAGAGGCUGAGGAGGUCCAAGAACUGGGUGCUUAUGGUUUGGUUGGAAUGAAGAGACAAGAAACCAGGAAACAAUUAGGAUACACAACCAUCCAUGAGCAUUUCUCUUGGAAGUUGCUAAGAGAGUAGAUCUUAAAUGUUCUCACCAUAACGACAACAACAAAAAUGGUGGUGGACCCCUGAUCAAGGAGAUCACGGAUACUUCCGAAACAAAUUAGAAUACACCAUAAAGAGUACUGUUCAGCAACAGUAUCAAUGUGUGGCUCACUGGGAAAGAAAAAUGGUUUCAUAUCUGUAAAAUGGGGAUGACAGUACCAACCUCACUCCAUUUGUGGGGAAGAUUGAGAUCAUGGAAUGAAAUCUCUUGGGAAGUUGUAAGUAUAGUAUAAACAAAACCCAUCAUUCCUAAAGUAUGGGGAAAGGGCUUCUUCCACAGACAAGGAUGCAUCCUGAUCUAAGUAACAGUUUUACCUGAAACUUGUCUAUAAGAAACCUUCACAUUUCUAGAAUUUUCAGGAUGACUUGGGAAGAAGGUGUCCUGAUGGAAGUAGGGUUGAGAUAGAGUUCACAGAAAAAGAGGGAGAAGUCCUUAGGUGAGCAUGCCUGGCUUUUUAGAGGUUUGGUUGAUCCUGGCAGGAAGGCCUCAUACUGCGUCCGCUAGGGAUGGAUCCACAAAGCCCCUAAGCAAGAGAAGAACACACUCGGGGAGGCCCUGACCCCACAGCUAGAUCAGGUGUUGGGCCAAGAUGGCCAGAGCCGUGUACAGCGCCCAUCUGUGCCUUCCCUUUCCCGUGUGAACCCGAGACCCCAGCCCAGCACCCUGAAGGGCCAAUCGUCACCUGAGCACUGGAGUGUUGGGUCCUGACAGGUGCUGCCUUGCUCUGGUGCCUUCAACUCCUCAACUCCUGCAUCUGCAACUUAGAGAAGCAUCGGGUGGAGUAAACAUGUGUGACCCCUCUUUCUGCCCGCAGUCUUUAUCCUUUGCUAUUCUGCAGUGCCUUUUGGAAGCCGAGGGUCUGUUUUGUCUCCAGCCCUAUUUUGCACUGUGUCACUGAGUACCUAAUUUACUACCUAUUAAGCAAAGACUAGAGGGAGAAACAGAUUUUAAAACAUUUAAGAGUAUUUAAGUGCCAAAGUGCUUUUUCUAAGGAUGAAACCAAUGACAGGAUGUUGGUUUUCAUCCAAGAGUUCCUAGAAGACAAAAGCCAUCCAUGAGAACACAUCUGGAUUGA